ACGAACGCUUGCGGCGUGCUUAACCCAUGCAAGUCGAACGGAAAGGCCCUGCUUUUGUGGGGUGCUCGAGUGGCGAACGGGUGAGUAACACGUGAGUAACCUGCCCUUGACUUUGGGAUAACUUCAGGAAACUGGGGCUAAUACCGGAUAGGAGCUCCUGCUGCAUGGUGGGGGUUGGAAAGUUUCGGCGGUUGGGGAUGGACUCGCGGCUUAUCAGCUUGUUGGUGGGGUAGUGGCUUACCAAGGCUUUGACGGGUAGCCGGCCUGAGAGGGUGACCGGCCACAUUGGGACUGAGAUACGGCCCAGACUCCUACGGGAGGCAGCAGUGGGGAAUAUUGCACAAUGGGCGGAAGCCUGAUGCAGCAACGCCGCGUGCGGGAUGACGGCCUUCGGGUUGUAAACCGCUUUCGCUUGUGACGAAGCGUGAGUGACGGUAAUGGGUAAAGAAGCACCGGCUAACUACGUG
rnacentral:rRNA from 1 species